rnacentral:lncRNA from 1 species
CUUUUUGAAAAUCUCUCUCUCUCUCUCUCUCUCUCUCUAUCUCUCUCUCUCUCUCUCUCUCUCAAACCUCUUUUACAUUUUGUGUUUCGAGGAGAGGGGAGGAAGUUCCUGCUCCCUCUCUCUCUCCCUCUCUCUUUCCUUACCUCCCUACUUAUUGUUCCCCCUUCCCCAUCUACUAAAUUUUGGGUUUUACUUGUGGGGAGGUUAUUUGUGUCAAAAUUUGUGGAUAUGUGAUUUUGUUGGUUUGAUGUUUUAUUGUAGGGUGAAGGCCUUAAAUCUCAAUGGUGUUCUCUAACUCCAAGGUGGGGGUGAUGGCUGUGGUGGUGGCGGCAACAACAGCGGUAGUGGUUUUGUUGGUUUUGGUUGCAUGUUUACAGUUUUCUUUUUGUAAUAAUUGCAUCAACUCCUUGUGAGUUGGGUGUCUGAUUGUUUUCUAGUCUCUACUUGUAUUUUGUACUUAUGAGUGUUAAAAGUUGUAGUUGUACUGGUAGAUUUGGGCGCUGCGAUUCAUGUAUGGUUUGUUCAGGUAUACGGCUUUUAUGCCAAAAUUUCACCAGUCUUUUGUGGCCUAUAUAUGUAUUAGCCCUAUGUGGUUAUUAUGCUUUUAUAUUUGUAUUACCCCUUUGCGAGCAUUUGUAUUUGUCCUUG